rnacentral:rRNA from 2 species
GACCUCGGAUCAGGUAGGGAUACCCGCUGAA